rnacentral:misc_RNA from 1 species
UAUUAUUACUACUCCUACUAUUGAAGUUUCUGUGUCUUCUUUCCAGGUUAACUCAAUGUUGGUGGCCUGGAUCUGGGUAUAAAGAUAAUUGGCAUGAGGCCAUCUUUGGAAAGGAAAAUGUUGAAAAGUUGCUCCCCAUUUCAGGGGACAAGAUACAAAGCUACUGCAUAGCCCUGUUUAAAACAGGGUAUGCAUCAGCCAAGUGUUAAAGAAUAAUGCCCCCAAAAGACUGACGCAGUAUCUUGCGGGAACGUCUCAAAAAUCUGCGGAGGAGGUCCUGGGGGAGUCCAGGGAGAUGUACAUGCAUGGACUCUCCCAAAGUUCUGUAAGACCCUUUUUAAAAAAUAGGACUCAUUUGGAUUGUUGAUGUUUAGCUGUCAAUUUAUGGGCUGUUACUAAUAUUUACCAUCAUCAUCAUCAUCUGCAUCAUCAUCGUCAUCAUCCUCAUCCUCAUCACUAGAAUCAGGAACAGCUUCAGUAUUAUUGACGUUGUUAAUGUUGUUACUAUUACUAAUAUUAUUACCAUUGAAGUUUCGUUGUAUCCUUUCCAGGUUAGCACGAUGCUGGUGGCUCGUUCAGGCUACAAAGAAUGGCAUGAGGCCGUCUUUGCUAAAGAAGACCAAGAAAAGCUUCUCCCCAUCACAGAGGAAAAGCUGAAAAGCUAUUCUAUAGCGCUGUUUGAGGCAGGUUACGCGCCGUCAACAAUAAUGCAUAUCCACGUGACCGGUCUCUGCAUUUGGGUAGCAUUUGAAAUGCUGUUUUUCUGUGUAUGAUUCGAUGUGCUCCUGAAUAUUGCAAAAACUCCAUUCCUUUUUUAAUUGACCGUUUUCCAUAAAAGUGAACAAUGGGAUUAUGCUUUCCACAAGGGAAACAAAGGCCUUGGCACUCCAUUCCGUUUUUCUUGGAAUUUCUAAAAAUGAAAUUCACUUUUCUUAUGUAUCCACAGCAUGCAAGCAACAGCAUUCCCUCACCUAAGAGGACUUUUCCAGGGGUUACGGGCAUAUUGAAAAGAUACUUUAAAAUCCAUCAUGGCGAAAGAGCAAAUUUUUCCCGGAAGCCGCUAUUUCCUCAAGAUGUGGAACAUCUGAUUGAUGUUUGUGGCAUUGAAAUGCCACACCAGCUACAAAUUGCAUUUAUGCUCUCUGCUUCGUUCCACUCUGGACAGAGAGGAGGAAGUUUUGUGGGACCAAGGUUGUGGUCUGGUCUCUGCCCAUUGUGCUGUUGAAAUGCUCGGAGACAUUAGCUGUUAAAGCUACUCUACAAUCCGAGGGUAAAUAAAGUAUACUACUACUACUACUACUAAGGAGAAGGACAGCAGCUGAAGAACUGCAGUGGCAGUUUAGCUGCCCUCCACCGGUGCCUUCCCACAUGAAAGUGGGCUCACUUGGUUUCAAGUAGGUAUUUAAACUAAUAAAGAGACUGACAAAGGGAUUUCAUUUACCAGUCAUCAAAAUUUUGGCAGUACCAACAGCUCAUUGUACUGCAAUAUGUGACACAAGCUGCUUAUGUGGCUUACAAACAUCCAUGGCCAUUUGCCUUAUUUUUUGUGUGUGUGUGUGUGAGAAAAUUUCAUCCAUAAUGUUCUAUUACUCGGUGUGCACUAUUAUCUACGAAAGGCAAUUAUAAUUUUUUACCUACAGAAAAGAUGAGAAUGAACUACACUUAUUAAAACAGGAUGCAACAAAUGCCCUCCACAGGAAGACUAUGUUUGAAAGAUUCUAAGUCACAUGCACAAUAUAAUUAAGCAGUUACUCUUCAAGAAUUUCUCAUAAACUUGUCCUCAGUAGGGUAUGGCUACCAACUUUAUUAUUCAACAGUCAAUCCAAAGAGGGGGAGUAUUCCCACAAGAGGAUGUGCCAACUCUUUGCUACUUAGCCAGCUGGUCAGAAAACUCAGGGGCAUGGCGGUUAUAUGUUAAAGAGAACGGCACUCCACUUAAAAGUUUAUGGGAUGCUUUUCACUCUGUGGUAAUCUGCGGUGGAUUCAACGAGAAAAUGGUUACUCAUCACUGCAAUUGUGCUGGUAUGGCCACCAAUUUUAUUAUUAUCAGAUCGAUUGAAAGAGGGGGAGUA